GACGAACGCUGGCGGCGUGCUUAACACAUGCAAGUCGAACGGAAAGGCCCUGCUUUUGUGGGGUGCUCGAGUGGCGAAAGGGUGAGUAACACGUGAGUAACCUGCCCUUGACUUUGGGAUAACUUCAGGAAACUGGGGCUAAUACCGGAUAGGAGCUCCUGCUGCAUGGUGGGGGUUGGAAAGUUUCGGCGGUUGGGGAUGGACUCGCGGCUUAUCAGCUUGUUGGUGGGGUAGUGGCUUAACAAGGCUUUGACGGGUAGCCGGCCUGAGAGGGUGACCGGCCACAUUGGGACUGAGAUACGGCCCAGACUCCUACGGGAGGCAGCAGUGGGGAAUAUUGCACAAUGGGGGGAAGCCGGAUGCAGCAACGCCGCGUGCGGGAUGACGGCCUUCGGGUUGUAAACCGCUUUCGCCUGUGACGAAGCGUGAGUGACGGUAAUGGGUAAAGAAGCACCGGCUAACUACGU
rnacentral:rRNA from 1 species